CAGCAGAGAUUGUCUUUGGGAGAAACACCAACAAAACUACAUCUGGAAAUAUUAUCUGAUCUACAGCAGCCAGCCAUUGAAACCCAAAGAUGGAGACACCCAACAGAUGGGACCCAUGGAGAUGGGAGGAACUACCUCAGGAGACCCCCUCCCCUGCCUGAAGUGUCCUGGAGUGGGCCGCUGCGGACAUCUGUCAGGGUCCCCAGACAGAUGGUCUCGGCUUCUAUGAACUUUCUAAUUAAGUGAAAGUACCUGACUUGGUCUAGAAGAUAAUUGACCUCAACUGGAGUUGAAGCAGAGGGAGCCAGGGGCACUGUCAGCUAAUGGAAGGCAAAUCCGCUACCUGGGGAAAUGGCUGUGUUCACACUAAUCCUGUGGCCUGCAGGCUCGGGUCUGAUUUAAUAGGGGCACUGAGGGGAUAGGUCAUUGUCCACACUGCCUGUCAAGAGCACAG